GAGAGGCAUAAAGGAACCUCUUUAUUAUGUUACAACCAUUUAUAAUGAUCAAAACAAUAUGGAAAAUUUCUAAAAAUCAUCAACUGCAUUCUCCAAUGGUAGUUGAUUUAGAAUAGUUUCUGAAGAUAGUUCACCACAUUCUUGUCCAAUUGGAAUGCCUUGGUAAGAACAUCUGGGUUAAUUGGUGGAUUAGAUCCAAACAGUGCAUUUGCAAUUGUGAUAACUCCUGGAUUUUGGCUGCUCAAUCCAGCAAUAGCAACUGCAUUAGUUUCACCAAUGUUGAACUGAAAGUGAAUGAGACCAAUUGGAAACACAAAAACAUCUCCUGCAUUUAGAACUUUGGUAAUGAGGCGGUUGGGGUUUGACGUGACAAAACCCACAUAGAGGGUGCCUUUCAAAACUACUAGGAUUUCUGUGGCACGAGGAUGAGUGUGGGGUGGGUUUAGGCCUCCAUAUGGUGCAAAGUCAAUACGGGCUAAUGAUAUACCAAGAGUGUUGAGUCCUGGUAUUUUGUCAACAUUUACAAGAGUUACAUUUGAUCCAACUUGAUUUCCCGUGUUUCUAGGAAUGUUGAGUCCCGAAAAAGAGAAAUCAUUGGCUACAGUAAGGUUUGGAUUCUUGCAAAAUUUUCCAUUCACAAACACAGCAUUGAAGGGGUUAUUUAUUGCCACACAGAAGUCCUGGAGAG
rnacentral:misc_RNA from 1 species